AAUAAUUUUUGUUAGACAUGGGAAAAUAGUCAUAAAGAGCCUAGCUCCACUUCUUGGACACUUUGCAAACUAAUUUUACUGCUAAAAAGACCUUCUUUAAAACCUUUUAAUACAAUGACAUACAGACUGUGAAGAAACAUAGUUCUUUAAUCUUUUUAAUGACUUCCAACACUUGACUCCAACAUGUAAAAUAACUAGAAGAGUGACAAUGACUACCGUCACCCAAAGAACAUUGUCUCCACAAAUUGUAAAUUGUGAAUUCGACUGCAUCUUGGUCCGCUUACUUUUAUAAAAAAAAGUUUUAAGCAUCGUGUAAGCGAAAGACGGGAUCACAUGCGUGCCCCCUGAAAGGAUGUUGGCUCAAUAAAAAAAGAUAAUCUCCAUACGUUACUUUUCUUCAAAGCAGGAUGAUCGAUAAAUCAUAAUCCCUGGUAACAGUUGAUUUUCUUCAUUCCUUUUCACAGUUUCAACGAGUGCAAGUUAUAACGAGGGAUGUAAAUGUGUGAUCUGAGAUCCUUGGAUAUGUGACGAGAAAAAAAAUUGCUACAAAUUAAGCAAUGUAGAAUAAAUUGAAGGAUUUUUAGCAAAUUGCUAAAAGAUUUCCCACCCGAAAAAUGAUUUGAGUAGUUUUUGUGCCAAUUCUUUACAAGUGCCGAAUGCAAACAAUAUUUGGGUAACAUUAAGAGUAUGUUGCAACGCUUCCAAGUACCUCGCCUUACAUCAUGGUCAGAUAUAGUGAUAAUUAAUAUUCGAAUAUGCAAAAAAAUGGUUUAAUAAUUGUAUACGAUAUUAUAUCAUUAUUGUCUCUAUACCCUAACAUAGGAAUAAAACAAAACAAAACACAAAAAAAAAAAAAAAACAUGCUAUUUGCUUGAUGUUAUGUUUUUUUUUCUUCCCUUUCUUUUAGCAAUAAUAUAUUACAGCCUGUGGGCAGAGGGAUCACACCUUUCAAUAACAGAAAAUAGACCCGUUGUAUACACACGAAAACCUAACCGUUCUAAUUCAUUUGUAUUUUUUUUUUUUUUUGUUUUUUUUUUCUUUUCUUCUUGCUCUAUAUUUUAGAUAUAGUGUAUAACAUAUAUGUUUAAAUUAAUUCUAUACUUUAGUAGUAGUAAUUAUAUUAUAUCAUGCACACCUCGUUUCUUUGCCACUGAUCAAUGGCUAGGUGUGUAGUUACUACUUAAAUAUUCUUUCUUGUUUUGAAAUGUUUUCUGUAUUUUCUUUUUUUUUUCCUAUCAAUUACGAUUUACGACGGUCUUGGAGGAAAUUUUUCAAAACCAGCAGUCAUCAUUACAGUAUUCCGAAACUGUCUGACGCAAAUUUAAAAAAAAAUUUUUCCUUGAUCUCGGGGAUGUCAAUAAUUUUUAUACGAGUGGGUAAUCAUAAACUAACAAUUUGAGACGACUUGGACGACUCAGAUUUAACUUAAUUUGUUGUGUCGUGGUGGUUUUUUCCUAAUUCCUGCAUUUCUAUUUUACACAAUUCAAUGUUAAAAUUCUUUCGGAUGUGCCUACCAUAAUAUUAUGAAAUUUACACCGGAUCGUACUGAUUUAUGGAGUAAUAUAUUAUAUGGAACACAGCUGGGUUAAGAGACAAAGUUUGUAUAAAGUAACUGUUUUUGUUCCAACAGUACGAUCGUAGCUUUCUCGUA